GGAGGGUGCAAGCGUUAAUCGGAAUUACUGGGCGUAAAGCGCACGCAGGCGGUUGGAUAAGUUAGAUGUGAAAGCCCCGGGCUCAACCUGGGAAUUGCAUUUAAAACUGUCCAGCUAGAGUCUUGUAGAGGGGGGUAGAAUUCCAGGUGUAGCGGUGAAAUGCGUAGAGAUCUGGAGGAAUACCGGUGGCGAAGGCGGCCCCCUGGACAAAGACUGACGCUCAGGUGCGAAAGCGUGGGGAGCAAAC
rnacentral:rRNA from 1 species